AAUAAAUAAGCACCAACAGUGGGUUUUCACGAACAGUCUUUAGUGUUCUAGGCCAACUUUGGCUUACCCACUUUCCAGAGAUGGCGAUCUUUUUGGGGGCUUACACGUUCGGGAUGCUGGGAGCAAGUCUUUUUGUCGGAUUGCUGACCUACAUCACCUACAAGCUGCUCAGCAACUACGUACACAAAUGGAUAGAAAUGAAGCCAAUACCAGAGAUUGAAGGCACAUACCCCCUCAUAGGGAAUGCACUGCAGUUCAAAGCCAACCCCGGAGAUUUCUUCCGUCAAAUCAUUGGUUACACCGAGCAGUUUAAGAAUCAUCCCCUGAUGAAGAUUUGGAUCGGACCAAUUCCCUUCCUAAUUCUGUUCCAUGCGGAGACCAUCGAGACAGUUCUGAACAACCCUAUUCACAUGGAGAAGGCCUAUGCAUACAAGUUCCUGCAUCCUUGGCUUGGUACCGGUCUGCUCACCAGCACGGGAGAUAAGUGGCGACGGCGGCGGAAGAUGCUUACCCCCACCUUCCACUUCUCCAUCCUGACCGAUUUCCUCGAGGUGAUGAACGAGCAGGCCGAGGUGCUGGUGGAGAAGCUGAACAAGGAGGCUGGCAAGGGCUCCUUCAACUGCUUCAACCACGUCACCCUCUGUGCCCUUGACAUCAUCUGCGAGACGGCGAUGGGAAAGAAAAUCUAUGCUCAGAGUAACCACGACUCGGAGUAUGUCCGAUGCGUGUACAAGAUGAGCGACAUCAUCACACGGCGACAGAGGAUGCCGUGGUUCUGGCCCGACUUUGUUUAUAACUAUUUUGGCGAGGGCUGGGAACACGACAGGAGCCUUAAAGUCCUCCAUUCUUUCACCUCCAACGUGAUCUAUGAGAGGGCAGAGUACAUAUCUUACGUCGAGUCGGACAGCGAAUCCGACCAGGGUAUGAGGAAGAGAAGGGCCUUCCUGGACAUGCUGCUGAAGACCACAGACGAGGAGGGCAACAAACUGACCCACCAGGACAUCCAGGAGGAAGUGGACACCUUCAUGUUCAGGGGCCACGACACCACAGCUGCUGCCAUGAAUUGGGCCAUUCACCUGAUAGGCUCCCACCCUGAGGUGCAGAAGAAGCUUCAACAAGAGCUGCAUGAGGUGUUUGGUGUGUCUGACCGGCCAAUCAACACAGAGGAUCUGAAGAAUUUGCGUUACCUGGAGUGUGUGAUUAAAGAAUCCCUGCGACUGUUCCCCUCAGUCCCCUUUUUCGCCCGCAACAUCGGUGAAAACUGCAACAUCAAUGGGUUCAAAAUUCCCAAAGGUGCCAAUGCCAUCAUCAUACCGUACUCCCUCCACCGUGACGAGCGCCACUUCCCCCAGCCGGAGGAGUUCCGCCCGGAACGCUUUCUGCCGGAAAACAAUGUCGGGAGACAUCCGUACGCGUUCAUCCCCUUCUCUGCUGGACUGCGUAAUUGCAUUGGUAAGAAAAAUAAAUCAGCGUCGGGGUCAAUGCAGUGUAAUUACCUGAUGCAUAAAAAGAGACCAGACUGAUGGAAACCGGAUUGUUCUUUCAACAUCGUGGGACUUUCUUGUGUCUGCAAAAUUAGUUAGGUCAGCGUUUUGCUAUAAUGGAGGAGAAGGUGAUUCUGGCCUCCAUUCUGCGCUACUUUAACGUGGAGGCGUGUCAGAAGCGUGAGGAACUCUGUCCACUGGGUGAACUCAUUCUCCGGCCAGAGAAGGGCAUAUGGAUUAAACUGGAGAAGAGGACACAGCAACUCUGAAUUCACGGCUGCACUCCAUUCGCAGAGUAGACCGCCCCUAGCCACUUUUCUUCGGGAGAAACCCUAUCUAGACUGGAUGCAGUUUUGAUUGCCAUCUUAACUGGCUGUCCAAUUUACAAAAGUUGACCUCUGCCCUUGAUGAGGAAGUAGGGUUAAGUGGCUGUCUUCUUUGCGAUUGGAGAAAAUCUCUUCCAUUCAACUGGCCAAUCUAGGGAACUGUUUGGAUACCUUAAAAAAAUACCAUUCCUUCCUUCUUUGCUUGUAAGUAAUUGCUGAAAGUUGAUCCAACACUAAUAGGUGCAUGUAAGUAAAGAAUUAGCACAAUCAUGUGAAUUAUUUAGGACAGUAGGAAAGAUAUAUUUAGCCUGUUACACCAGUGGGCUACAUCAGUGUUUUUCUGUACCUGUUGGUGACUAUGAAACGCUCAGAGCAACAUCUGGAUCGGCUUCAUUUUGUCUACAUGUUUACAAGAUUUUGGGCAAUCAUUAGUGGGGACGAUUGAACCUGAAUAUUUUUUAAUAGUCACCCUAGGGUAAAGAAAAUCACUCUGUGCUGUUUCGUCCACUGCUUCAGGUUAAAAGUAUUUGAGAAUAAUGAAAUAAAUUACAGGAGAUCUGAAACUUGGGACUGAGAGACACACAAUUUUCAGAGUCAUCAUAAACAGGUUUCUGAUAUUCAAAAUAGUUUGAGCUUCCAAGAAAGAUACCUAAGUUGGCAAAUUUAGAUAAGGACCAUAUAACCACAGUUGUAAGAUUUCAUCACUUUCAUUUUAUAAGUCAUUAACAGUGUAUUAUGAUGUGCAUUAUUAUUUUCUACAUCUGUAAAGACUUACAUACAUGAAUAUGUAAGCUAACCUCACCGCUAUGGUUCUAUUUUUCAAGCUCUUUGGAUAUUAUGUUUGAACAUCAAUGUCAGGAUGUACUACUUUUAAAUAAAAGAGGAUACUGCACUUCUGCAUGUAUUUGUUAUGUUUGAGUCUUGACUGAUACAAUUGAAUUUACAAAUAGAACAUUGCAAAACUAUGUAUCCUUGUCAUAUCGUGAUGAGUUGUUAUUGGAAUUAAGAUCUGCAGAAGAACAAACGACAAAUGCUUAAAUCUAAUUGCACCAGGUACAAUUCAAACAUUAUGUUUUUUGCAGUGGUCUUAGUGAUGAAACACAUCCCCAAUAAAUGAAUCCUAAUACACUGCCAGAUACUAUAUUAGAAACUCCUCAUGGAACAUAUAUGGCAUUGUGGAUGCCAAAUUCAGGGUACCAUGUGUGCCCUGCAUUCUAUUUACUUCAGCUAGCGGACAGGGUGACAUCUCCUAUGAUCACUGCUGAACACUCCUAGGGACAGUAUCAGUGGUGCGGACUUCUCCUUUAAAGGGCUUGAAUCAUACCCUAAUGGUUUUUCUAUAAAAACAUUGUUGUCAGCAUUAUCUGGAAGAGAUGCUCCAAUGGUGACUGUGUCUUUGAAAUACAAACUGCAUGAGUGACGGUAGAGGGUAUAUCCAGGGACGAAGGAGACUGGGGACAAAGACAUUCAGAAGGACAGGCUUUUAGUUAAGUUUCCCCCAGUGUUUGCUAUACUGGGGGAGUACUGUAGAUUGGAAAUCUCAUUGGAAAUUAUAUACAUUUUAUAUUACAUUAUAUGAUACUUCUAUACUAUUAAUUCUCUACUGAGCAUGAAAACCAAACAAAUACAGUAAGAGGAAAAUAUGAACAAAAUGUACUUAUUUUUUU